CAGGGUCGAAGAAAGCGUGGAUCAUGGCAAGUACGAAAUACAACCUAUAGAGUGAGUCGCAAAAAUCAAGUACCAACCAUUGGUGUUACAGCGUUGAUGGAAAAUGGCACCAGAGACCAAGACAUAUCAAGAGUAUACAACGUAUUUUACGCUCAUCCAUCAUGUUUUGUCAUGGGUACACCACAGAAUGAUUCAG